rnacentral:lncRNA from 1 species
CAUGGACAAUGCAAAUAUAAUUUUUAAGUAAUAUAAAAAAUUUAAAAAUACCCCAAGAACUAGGGAAGGACAAUUAGAGUUAGCUAAGGUUCAAGUCCUAGCUAUGAAGGUUCCAAUAACUUCUACAUGUUCCACAAAAAUCCACAGUUAUGUCUUCUUCUGAAGUCAUGAUUAUGAAGGGUAGCCUCUCUUUUCAAUUCUACUCACUAUUAGUGUAAUAGAAACUAGGCAUGACUAGUUAUUGAAUACAUUUCUCACAUUGACCCAUUUAAAAAUGGUGAUUUUUUAAAAAAAUGUCAUUUUAUAUCUCUUUGCAUUUUCAUUUCUUGAAGAUAUUAGCUGGAGUAGAUGAGUUCUU